rnacentral:rRNA from 1 species
UACGAAGGGGGGCUAGCGUUGCUCGGAAUCACUGGGCGUAAAGGGUGCGUAGGCGGGUCUUUAAGUCAGGGGUGAAAUCCUGGAGCUCAACUCCAGAACUGCCUUUGAUACUGAAGAUCUUGAGUUCGGGAGAGGUGAGUGGAAUUCCUAGUGUAGAGGUGAAAUUCGUAGAUAUUAGGAAGAACACCGGUGGCGAAGGCGGCCCACUGGCUCGAUACUGACGCUGAGGUGCGAAAGCGUGGGGAGCAAACAGG